UACGUAGGGUGCGAGCGUUAAUCGGAAUUACUGGGCGUAAAGCGUACGCAGGCGGCUUUGCAAGACAGGUGUGAAAUCCCCGGGCCUAACCUGGGAACUGCAUUUGUGACUGCAUGGCUAGAGUCUGUCAGAGGGGGGUGGAAUUCCACGUGUAGCAGUGAAAUGCGUAGAGAUGUGGAAGAACACCGAUGGCGAAGGCAGCCCCCUGGGAUGAGACUGACGCUCAUGUACGAAAGCGUGGGGAGCAAACAGG
rnacentral:rRNA from 1 species